rnacentral:rRNA from 1 species
AGUGAGCGCUGGCGGUAGGCCUAACACAUGCAAGUCGAACGGCAGCACAGAGGAGCUUGCUCCUUGGGUGGCGAGUGGCGGACGGGUGAGGAAUACAUCGGAAUCUACUCUGUCGUGGGGGAUAACGUAGGGAAACUUACGCUAAUACCGCAUACGACCUACGGGUGAAAGCAGGGGAUCUUCGGACCUUGCGCGAUUGAAUGAGCCGAUGUCGGAUUAGCUAGUUGGCGGGGUAAAGGCCCACCAAGGCGACGAUCCGUAGCUGGUCUGAGAGGAUGAUCAGCCACACUGGAACUGAGACACGGUCCAGACUCCUACGGGAGGCAGCAGUGGGGAAUAUUGGACAAUGGGCGCAAGCCUGAUCCAGCCAUACCGCGUGGGUGAAGAAGGCCUUCGGGUUGUAAAGCCCUUUUGUUGGGAAAGAAAUCCAGCCGGCUAAUACCUGGUUGGGAUGACGGUACCCAAAGAAUAAGCACCGGCUAACUUCGUG